rnacentral:tRNA from 1 species
UAGAGUAUGGUGUAUCAGGUAGCACGAAGAAUUUUGAGUUCUUUAGUAUAGGUUCAAGUCCUGUGAUUCUAG